rnacentral:tRNA from 1 species
UGGCGCUGGUAGUGGGUGAGUUCACGCCGUACGAGAUUCCAGGUGUCGAGGACCGCCCAGCGCGCGCGGUUCUCGCCGGCGCUGUC